rnacentral:lncRNA from 1 species
UUUCUACCUUUAAUAACGGGUCUUGUGCUUCUAGUCCUUUUUCAUUCUCUUCUCCGGUGCCUUCUCUAGUCCCGAGUAAUUGUCAAAGUUCCUCCAGUGCAACUGCCACCAAUAAUGACACUUCUGCUGCUACCAUCACCUCUGCAAGUGCGACUGCGAAUGCCAGCAUCAGCUUUACCAGCAGCCCCUCUGUGGAGGCUUCAAUCCCUUCUUUUACAGGUGCACCUGUUUUCAAGUUUUCAUCCUCUGGGGACCCAUCAACUUCAGUUUCAACAUUAUCAGCAACUUCAGGGGAAGCAACUGAAUCUAAGACACAGGAUACAAAACUUGGCAAUGUAGGUAUCUUUCCUUUUGGUAGUACAUCUGCUUUUACUGGCUCUGGAAGUAGUAUUUUUGGUGGUACAAGUGCUGCAAGCAGCUCUGCUGGUACAACAGCUGAAGUCGCAAACUCUGGAAAUAGCAGUUCCAGUGGUAUAUCUUCCACUAUUAUGAACUCUGGAAGUGGCUUUUUCAGCAGCACAUUUUCCCCAGUGACAAGCACAAGCAAUGGUAUCUUUGGUGGUUCAUCUGCAAGUACAAGCACAGGCAAUGGUAUCUUUGGUGGUACAUCUGCAACUACAAGCACGGGCACUGGUUUAUUUGGUGGUACAUCAGCAGCUACAAGCACAGGCAAUGGCAUCUUUGGUGGUACAUCUGCAACAAGCACAGGUAGUAGUAUUUUUGGUGGUACGUCUUUGCCAGUAUCUGGUACAGGAAGUAUUUUUUCCACUAAAGCUGCAGGCACGGCCACUGGAAGCAACGUCUUUGGAUUCAGUGCUCCAGCUACAUCCACAUCUACUUCACAGUCUCAGGGUUUAAAUCCUUUCAAUGCUGUAAAUACCCAAGCAUCUGCUGCAGGAACUGGCAUUGGUACCUCAAGUCAGAGCACGCCCAUUCAGUUUUCCUCAUCUGCAUCAUCUCCAUCCUUUGGAUUGGCUGGGAAUGCAACCUUUUCCUCUGGCAGUUCGAUUUUUGGGUCUUCGGCAACUGUAGCCAAACCUUUUAGUUCUGGUUCAAGUUCUGGAAUAAGUUCUUCCUCUUCAGAAACCAAGUCUCUGAGCUCUAGCAGUGGCAUUGCUGGUGGUGCGUUUGGUUCCACUUGGCAAGCUCCCAAGACACCCACAUUUGGUUCAUCAUCAGGAUUUUCUUUUGGAUCAUCAACUUCUGUUAGUGCUCCUAGUGGUGCAUCUUCUAUCUUUGGGUCAUCCACUGGUGCCUCUUCAAGUUCCAUAUUUUCAUUCACUUCCGCUGCAGCUGCCACUCCGUCACAGCCUGUGUUUGGUAAUACGAGUCCUGGCUUGGUGUUUGGGUCAACGCUCUCUAGUAAUAAUGAUCAAAUGGAAGAUAGUAUGGCGGAAGACACAGUUCAGGCUUCACCGGCUGUUGUGACAUUUAAUCAACAGCCAAUUUCACCACCCGCUUCUGGGUUCGUUUUUGGUGCAUCAAACCCACCAGCAGCAGGUUCUGUCCCAUUUGGAACCCAACCAAGCAUAGCCGCACCACAGAAUCCAUCUCCAUUUCUGGCUUCUGGUAGUCUGGAAUUUGUUGGUGGAGGGAGCUUCUCAUUGGGCACCAGUGGUGGUGACAAGUCUGCCAGAAAAUAUGUGAAGGUCCGCAAGCAGCGGAAGAAGUAAAAAGGUUUAAUUACUUGAGGCAACUCUUUCAUGUGAGGGACUCGAGUGAUUGAUUGAAUAAUUAUUGUGGCAGAUCAGAGGAGCUGCUGAUUGUUGCUGUAUGUUGUAGCUAUCAGAAUGUCAUUGAUGCCAGCACAAAUGAGAGGAGCUGUUAAAAAUGUUGCUGUUAUUUCAUCAUUUCUAUGGGCUGCUGGCAGAAGUUGGUCGCAAUUUUGUAUGUUCUUCCUGGUAAAAAUUCGAGACAACAUUUGGAACUGUACUAUUAGUAUUAGUUAGCUGAUAGAUUUUCUGGUUUGAGCUAUUGUGCUUUUGGCCUUGUUCUGUGUACCCUUAUAUGUAACAUAAAUCGAAUGAAAAAAGAAUCGAAGACUAUGGAAAUGGUUAUGAAUUUCAUUUUAGGGAUGAUCUCUUUUUUUUUCUUCUUUUAAAGGGUUUGUGGAAUCGUAGCUUUUUGAGCUCAAGUAUUCUAUCAUAAAUUAUAACAGGCAGAGACGAUUUGAAAAUCCUAUGGGACCAUUCUUCUCUGGCAUUCAUCCUAGGUGGUUCCAUGGCUUUGCAAAUAAAUACUGGGAAAGCAUUUUGAGUUUCACCUUUAAAAUGAAGCUAUUAAUUGAGGGGCUCUGGACCCAUGUAUGUUUUCUGGUUCAAUGCUUCCUCUUCAAAGCUUGAGAAGUGCAUGGGCUUUCUCCAGAGAUGAUGGUGAAGCAAGAGUGGUAUGGUGGGUGUCAAUGGCUAGGAAAGUCAUCUUUCCCUCUUGUUGCACCGCACUUAAAGGUAGUGGAGAGGGAAGAAUAUUUUGAUGCCUUGGGUGGACAUGAGUGAGGGAGGAACGGAAAUUGGGGACAUCCCUUGCCUUCAUUCGAUCACAAUUUUGAAAGGAGGAUAAACUAUGUGAAUUUUUACCUAGAAGCACCUCAACACAUCUCCCUUGCUGACUUACCAAGCUUUUUCAAGCCUCAUUUAUGCAUUUUGGACUCAUUAACAAUAUUAUGAUACAUCUUUCCUAAAAAAGACAUUUUGCUAAAAGAAAUUAUCACCUCAAAAAGUUUCACUUCAUAACUUUGCAUAUUUACUGGAGGCAAUUGUUAUUCGUAAUUGUUUCACCUAGGCUAAUGGUUAUCCACUUAGUCUAAAAAAAGUUCGCUCAUAAAAAUUCGUAUGUGCUUACCAUCUGAGCAGCCACCAAGUAACAUUAAAACCCAAUUAUAUAUUUCUCUUAUCAUACCCAAUAGAGUCUCUUUAGGUCUUAUUCUAUCACAUCUUAAUAGAGCACUUCAUAAUCUUAUAUUAAUCUUAUAUUAAUCCUACGUAAUAGCAAACGUGUUUAGAGGAAGGUACUCAAAGUUUCUCUUCUAUAUAAAAAGGUUCUAUCUCCAAGAUAACCCCAAACAACCACCGCACAAUCGAAACUCCAUCCAAAUACUUUAACAAUUCUACCAAACACUUCUAAUCAUUACUAACAGCUCUCAACAACCAUCAACUCUACAUUUUGUAACAAAAAUAAUUAUUACUCAAUAAUAUGACUUAUUAUAAAAACAAUUUUUUAACAUUUAAUUAUUUCCAAUUGUAAUUCCAAUAGUUAGAUAUGCUUAUGGAUUGGAUAAGAAAAUUGAAAAAAAUAUUAGGUAAUGGUUCAGACUUCAGCGGCCGCUCGUCCUCAGCAGUUCCCUUCUCAGUCUCUUGCUUUCAAACCCAAAUCAGAAUGGGUUCAUCUUUGAACCCAAAUCAGAAUGGGUUCAUUUUUAACCCAAAUCAGAAUGGGUUCAUCUUCGGUGAAAGCCCAUGUACAUCUCUAGCCUUGAAGGAGAAGCAUUGAACCAGAAAGCAUAUAUGGGUCCGGAGCCCCUCUAUUAAUAGCUUCAUUUUAAUGCUGAAACUCACAAUGCUAUUCCAGUAUCUACUUGAAAAGCCAUGGAACCACCUAGGAUGAAGGCCAGAGAAGAAUGGUCCCAAAGGGUUUUCAAAUUGCCGCUGCCUGUUAUAAUUUAUGAUAGAUUACUUGAGCUCAAAAAGCUACGAUUCUACAAACCCUUUGAAAGAAGAAAUAAAAGAGAUCAUCCCUAAAAUGAAAUUCAUAACCAUUUCCAUAGUCUUCGAUUCUUUUUUCAUUCGAUUUAUGUUACAUAUAAGGGUACACAGAACAAGGCCAAAAGCACAAUAGCUCAAACCAGAAAAUCUAUCAGCUAACUAAUACUAAUAGUACAGUUCCAAAUGUUGUCUCGAAUUUUUACCAGGAAGAACAUACAAAAUUGCGACCAACUUCUGCCAGCAGCCCAUAGAAACGAUGAAAUAACAGCAACAUUUUUAACAGCUCCUCUCAUUUGUGCUGGCAUCAAUGACAUUCUGGUAGCUACAACAUACAGCAACAAUCAGCAGCUCCUCUGAUCUGCCACAAUAAUUAUUCAAUCAAUCACUCGAGUCCCUCGCAUGAAAGAGUUGCCUCAAGUAAUUAAACCUUUUUACUUUUUCCGCUGUUUGCGGACCUUCACCUAUUUUCUGGCAGACUUGUCACCACCACUGGUGCCCAAUGAGAAGCUCCCUCCACCACCAAAUUCCAGACUACCAGAAGCCAGAAAUGGAGAUGGAUUCUGUGGUGCGGCUAUGCUUGGUUGGGUUCCAAAUGGGACAGAACCUGCUGCUGGUGGGUUUGAUGCACCAAAAACGAACCCAGAAGCGGGUGGUGAGAUUGGCUGUUGACUAAAUGUCACAACAGCCGGUGAAGCCUGAACUGUGUCUUCCGCCAUACUAUCUUCCAUUUGAUCAUUAUUACUAGAGGGUGUUGACCCAAACACCAAGCCAGGACUCGUAUUCCCAAACACAGGCUGUGACGGAGUGGCAGCUGCAGCGGAAGUGAAUGAAAAUAUGGAACUUGAAGAGGCACCGGAGGAUGACCCAAAGAUAGUAGGUGCACCACUAGGAGCACUAACAGAAGUUGAUGAUCCAAAAGAAAAUCCUGAUGAUGAACCAAAUGUGGGUGUCUUGGGAGCUUGCCAAGUGGAACCAAACGCACCACCAGCAAUGCCACUGCUAGAGCUCAGAGACUUGGUUUCUGAAGAUGAAGAACUUAUUCCAAAACUUGAACCAGAACUAAAAGGUUUAGCUACAGUUGCCGAAGACCCAAAAGUCGAACUGCCAGAGGAAAAGGUUGCAUUCCCAGCCAAUCCAAAGGAUGGAGAUGUUGCAGAUGAGAACUGAAUGGGCGUGCUCUGACUUGAGGUACAAUGCCAGUUCCUGCAGCAGAUGCUUGGGUAUUAACAGCAUUGAAAGGAUUUAAACCCUGAGACUGUGAAGUAGAUGUGGAUGUAGCUGGAGCACUGAAUCCAAAGACGUUGCUUCCAGUGGUCGUGCCUGAAGAUUUAGUGGAAAAAAUACUUCCUGUACCAGAUACUGGCAAAGACGUACCACCAAAAAUACUACUACCUGUGCUUGUUGCAGAUGUACCACCGAAGAUACCAUUGGUUGCGCUUGUGUUGAAAGUUGUCAACAAUACAGCAGCAAGCAAAUAUCCAUGUAUCUUGGUUGUUGAAAAACUUUUGUAACAUGUGACUUUUGUUAGUGUGAUUGAAACUUUUUGUUUUGCUAAGGAUUAGUCAAGUACCUAGCUGAUUUAGUAGCUUUUUAGCUUAUCAUUAGGUUGAUUUUACAGUUUGGAUACUAGCACAAGUUAUGUUUGUUUUCUUCCAAUGUAAUUGAAUUACUUAUGUACAUGUAAUGUUGCUUAUUAAUGAGAAUUGUCAACUCUUUUCUCGCAACCAACAUCCGUUUUUGCUUCUGUGUUUCAUCUUUCAAACACAAGUUUUGUUGUUUUUGAUCUUUGGAUGUUGAUUUAUCUCAACAAAUGGUAUCAAGAGUCUCUUAUCUUUGAGGGCCUUUUGUUGUGUGUUGUUCAUUGAGUGAUUCGUGCUUGAAAGAAAAGAAACAGAAGCUGUUUUUGUUGGUUUGUUUAGUUGCUACAAUAGAAUGAGUUUCUCACCACCACCACCACCACCUGUUUUUGCUGGUGAAAACUACAACAUCUCGGCUGUGAAAAUGAAAACACAUAUGCAGGCUCAUGAUCUGUGGUGUGUUGUUCAAGUUGACACAAAGCCACCACAUUUGAAAGCUAAUCCAAGCAUAGCUCAAAUUAGGUAGCAUAAUAAGGACUGUGCCAAAAAGUAUAAGGUUAUGUCAUGCCUUCAAAAUGGAGUUUCAGAUGUGAUCUUCACAAGGAUAAUGGCUUGUGACACUCCAAAGCAGGCUUGGGACAGACUCAAGGAAGAGUUUCAAGAGUCAGACAAAACCAGACAGCAACAGUUGAUCAACCUACGGAGGGACUUCGAGAAUCUGAAGAUGAAGGAGUCUAAAACCAUUAAGCAGUAUUCUGACAGGAUUAUGGCUACAUUCAACAACAUCAGGCUUCUUGGGGAUGAUUUUAGUGACAAAAGAAUAGUUGAAAAGGUCAUUACAACUCUUCCAGAGAAGUACGAGCCAAAAAUUUCUUCUUUGGAGGACUCUAGGGACCUAUCAGCUAUAUCCUUGGUGGAGCUAAUAAAUGCUCUCUAUGCACAAGAGUAAAGAAGAGCAAAUAGAAUGGAGGAGCAUUCUGAAUGAGCCUUUCAGGCCAGAAGCAAAGAAAGCUCAAGCUCAAGCUCGAGCUCAAGCUACAAGGGCAAGAAGCCUUGGACCGAAAAGAAUGAAAAAGGAAAGAAGGAUGCGCCAAAAAGAAGUUUCCACAAUGCACUCACUGUAAGAAGUCCACUCAUUUAGAAAAGUAUUGCUAGUACAGGCCUGACAUUAAAUGUAGAAGCUGCAAGCAGCUUGGCCACAUGGAAAAUGUUUGCAAAAAUAAGGCAAAAACACAACCAUAGCAGCAGAAUCAAGCUCAAGCUGCUGAGGAUGUUCAAGCUCAGGAGGAGCAUGUUUUUACUACUUCUUGUUUUGUAAGUUCGAGCAAAGUCAGAAAGAAUUUGUUGAUUGACAAUGGCUAUACUCUUCACAUGGCAUCAGAUAAAGAUAUGUUUAGGGAACUAGACACCAAUUUUGUGUCAAAAUUCAGAAUUGGGAAUGGUGAGUUUAUUGAGGCCAAAGGCAAAGGCAAGGCUAUGAUUUGCACUCAAUCAGGUAACAAAACAAUUUAAGAAGUUCUUUUUGUACCUGAUAUUGACAAGAAUUUACUUAGUGUUAGUCAGUUGUUAGAGAAGGGUUACUCCCUUAUUUUUGAAGGAAAAACUUGUAUGAUUAAGGAUCUCUUUGGCCAAGAGCUAGUAACAGUAGCUAUGCAUGAUAGAUCAUUCACUUUAGAUGUGAAUCAGUUAGAAGUAAAGGCACAUACUGCUCUGAUUGAUGAAUCAUGUUUGUGGCACAAGAGGUUGGGGCAUGUGAACUAUAAGUCACUUGGUUUACUACAUAAGAUGAGCCUAGUUGAAGACAUGUCCAAGAUUGAGCCUAAAAAUGAUGUAUGUGGGGUCUAUUAGCUUGGCAAGUAGACCAGACUACCUUUUCCUGUUAACAAAGCUUGGAGAGCUCAAGAGAGGCUCUAACUGGUCCACACUGAUAUUUAUGGACCCAUGAAGACCUUCUCUUUAAAUGGCAGUAGAUAUUUUGUGCUGUUCAUUGAUGAUUGCACCAGAUUCUGUUGGGUGAGUUUUUUGAAACAAAAGUCAGAUGUAGCUGAUUUUUCUGCAAGUUUAAGGCCUUGGCUGAGAAUCAAACAAGUUGUAAGCUAAAGGUAUUAAGGUCAGAUAAUCGGAAUGAAUAUGUGUCUUAAAAGUUUCAAAAGAUCUGUGAUGAAGUUGGAAUCCAACAUCAAUUAACUACCAUCUACACACCACAGCAGAAUAGUGUUUGUGAGAGAAAAAACAAAACUGUUCUCGAUAUGGCCAGAUGUUUGUUGUUUGAAGGGAAAAUUCCUAACAUUUUUGGGGCUGAGGAGUAAAUACCUCUGUGUAUUUUCUCAAUAGACUGCCAACAAAUGUAGUCAAAGGCAAAACACCAUUUUAAGCUUGGUUUGGACAUAAGCCUACUGUCUCACACUUAAAGUGUUGGUUGCAUAUGCUACACACUUGUGCUAGCUGAAAAGAGAACCAAGCUAGAAAAGAGGUCUAUGCCUGGAGUCUUUGUUGGCUAUAGCAGCAUAAAGAAAGAGUAUAGGGUCUUUGAUCUACUAAAAGAAUUAUGGUGAGUAAAGAUGUGAAAUUCAAUGAGGGCAGUUGUUGGAAAUGGGAUGGAACAGAUGCAAGCCUGUCUGAGUAAGACCAGCAUGAUCUUGAUUUACAGCAUGUUGAGAAUGAAGCUGAAAUUGAGGAUAGAUAUAAUUAUAUACCUGUCAGAGGUACAAGGACUAUUAUGGACAUCUAUGAAAGAUGUGAUAUGACCAUUGUUGAGCCUUCCAACUUUUAUGAGGCUGAAAAGGAGGGCUGCUGGAAAGAAACAAUGGAGGCGGAAAUAAAAAUGAUUCACAAAUGUGACACAUGAGAGCUGGUUGAUAGACCAGAAAAUAAAAAAAAUUAUUGGUGUGAAAUGGGUGUUCAGAACCAAGCCCCAACCCGUAUCCCUCGCUGGAACCAGGUUACAGAGCAUUAUCGGAGUUUACAGAUCAAACAGACUGAAAUUUCAAACAUUUCAUAUCAUCAAAACAAGUCAUCACAGCAUCAUUUUAAUCCAAAUUAUAAACAUAUCAAAUCUAAAUCAAUUUUGCCUAGUUCAUGAGCACUUAAGUAUAGAAUUAAAUUCACAUGCACCUAUCUAGAUUUAGUUUAAUUUAUCAUGCCAUAAUAUCGCUUCAAAAACAAACACAUAUUUAUAUGUAUAAAACCAACCAAAAUUAAACUUAUAACCUCUUUUACAAUCACACCACAAAAUAGCUAUUAUUUAAACACCCUAGGUACAUGCCGACACAAAUGAUAACCAUCACCACAUUUGAGUUCGAGAUCGUUGUUGGAUGCUGAAUCGACAAUCAAAAGUUAAGUACCUAACCUGCGCAGGGAAACAAAACCGUACGCUGAGUAUAAACUCAGUGGUAUUUUUAUAAUCCGAAUAUUUAAAGAUAAGAAAUUACAAAUAUACAAUUGAAAUAUAAACACAUAUUAAUAUUUAAUUAUGACAAAAGCCAUAUAAUAUUUCAUUUGUUUCACAAAUAUCUCAAUUCUCAUACUUGUUAUAUAAAUAGCUUUUCACAAUUUAUUUCACAUUUCAUUAUACAAUUGCAAUAUCCAUUCCAUAGUCAUUUCAUGAGUAUAUAACUCAUAUAUUCCAUAUAUUUGCAACAUAUUUCACAUUAUAUUUUCAAUUCACUAUUUCACUUCCAUUUCUCAUACCAUACCAUUUCAAUAUCAAUUAUAAAACUUUAUUAUUCGUUUACCCCUAUUAACACGACUCAAACUCGGACGGAUACACAGAUCUAGCUAAAACACACCAGUUUGACACCCAGUGCCUCAUCAGAUAAUUCGAAGUAAUAAAUUGACACCCAGUGUCUCAUUAGUUAAAUCGAAGUAAAUUGGCACCCGGUGCCUCAUCGAAUUAAUCCAAAGUAGUAAAUUGACACCCAGUGUCUCAUCGACUCGAAGUCGAAGAAAUCCCUGAACUCUUCUAGUCCUAUAGCAUACUAUCUAUAUUUGACUCAGCCCAUACAGUUAAUAGAGUUUCAAUUCACUUUUCAAAUACAACCAAUAUUCAUUUCAAUUCAAAUAAUCAAUAUAUUCAAUAUAUAUAUACCAAUUCAAUCAAUAUAAAUUCAAUAAAUUCAUCACAUAUUAAAUCAAUCCAUUCAGAUGCAAAACACAAUAAUUCUCACCUCAACACUUACCAUAUGCAUUAAAUUGAAUUAUAACAAUUAACAACUAAAUUCAGAUUAUAGAAAUACAAACCAGAAAUUCACUAAAUUUACUAUAUACAAUCACAGUAAUUAUUGUUUUCUUAUUAUUUAGCUGACAAAUUAGAGUGAUGUAUUUUAAACUAAAUUUACUAAACUAAUUUAAUUAAGAACUCAAUAGAGAAUGAAUGAGGAAAAUAUUCGAAAGAUAACCAAUGAGAAAGAAAAUACCCAAGAAAGAAUCCACCUAGACUUCACCUAUUAUUAUGAAUCUAAAUUAAAAAAUGUAUUCACUUGGUAUCUUGAUCCAUAGAAAUCCAUAAAUUAUGCUAAUAUCUCUUUCGAGAGUAAGAACAACUGACUCUGGGUUGAUUAAUUGAAAUCUCUUUCUAAUUAAAACCCCUAUCGUCGCAUUAACUCGAUCUAUGACUUCCCUUUUUAGAUUUGACUCUAAUCCGGUAGAUUUAUAUCGUCCUAUUUCUAGGAUUGCAUGUAACUCCACUCAAUUAUGCUAGAUCUACUCUUAAAUAGGGACUUUCCUGCCACUUAAUUAAGCACAUUAAACAUGAAUUAAUAUCCCAGAAAUAUUAAAACAAGAAAUAAACACACAUAGUUGAGAACAAUAGUCAAGUAUUUAUUGCGUAGAACAGAAAUUAAAUAAUAGGAUUCAUUAUAGGUUUCAUCUUCCCUAGGUAUCUAGGGAAUUAGUUCAUAAUUUUGAAAUAAAACAUCUCAAAAUUAGAGUAACCACAAGACAUAAAGAAACUCAUAAAAACUUCAAAAGAAAUUAAAAUGAGGUCUUCAAUCUUGAUGGAAAUUUGCUUUAGAGUUGGCUUCAAUGGUGUUCUUCGAGUUGUUUCUUAAAAUUUCUCUGAUGGCCCCCAUAUCUCUUUUUCUAAUUGUAUUUAUAGACUUCAGAAUGCUUAGAAAGCUUAAAAAUUGUGUUUUUCCGCGUGUUUGGAAAGCAAGUUACGAAAUCGACACAGGCUGGCACAUGGCCAUGUGUUCAGAAUGUGUGGCUCACACAGCCUUGUGUCCAGCUCGUGUGGCUCCUGAAAUUUGCUCUUUUUGCUCAAUUUUCGUUUGUUUUUCACUCCUUUAGCUCCCAAAUGCUCACCUAAGUAUAGGAACAUGAAUUCAAAGGAUUAGGAGCAUUAAAUUCACCAAUUUGUAUACAUAUUCAUCCAAAAAUGCAUUAAAAAUGAGAUUAAAAUAUGUUAGAUUUAUCAUUUAUGAUGAUAUCCUUUCUAGAUUACCCCUUAAGUUCGUGAUUUGAUUCAAAUCCCUUUUCAAGGAUUGGGCUUACCUCACCUCAACCCGAACUUCUGUUGCCGACCAUCUCCGCCGCUCUUCUUCUGAUCCAUCUCUCAUCCUCCUUUUCUAAAAUACCAAACCCGAUUUCGACAUUGGGAUCUUGCUAAUCACUGACCUAACCCAUUUCACUUGUCGGCGUUUGGUUGUCCCUUUGGAGGAACCGCUUCCUUUGUUCUCGAAAAUCAUGGGUUCAAUCGAUUGUUUGGUUUGUCUGGAUGUUCCCCUUGUUUUUCUUUUAAGUUUGUUUUCUGCAACUUAAUAAUGUUGACAAUGGAGUUAGUGUUGUUUAGCUUAAUCAACGACCCUUUUGUUUAUAUCAUCAUAUCCUAUGAAGAUUUCGACAAAUCCGAGUCGUUGUGGUUCUUGAAUUGCUUGAAUAUUGCUUUGGAGGAUAUUUUCCUCACCGAUUUGGUUGUGGGUAUUGAUAGUUUGAACCAAAAUUGUCUCCAAUCCCAUUUCGAUCUGAUUUUUCAGAGUUAAUGACUUUGGACAGCAAAAAGAUAUAGUCGGAUGCCAAUCGUGGUGGCUCCUCUAUUGGGGGUUUGAAAAAGAAAAAAAAGAUAGGGUGGUGGUUUGGAUGUCAACGAUGGUGACGCCAAUGAUGGUUGUGGCAGAGGCGGUGACGCCGAGAUUGUCGGGAUGGAGAAGAACCAUAAACAUAUUGGGUCAUUUAUGCAAAAAGUAAAAAUAUUGGACCAUUUAUUUAAAAAACGAAAAAGGAAGGACAAAAAAAAAGUCACUCAACUUUGCCUCGUCUAACGUGGCAAGUUAACUAGCCACAUCAACUAGUUUACUAGUCACGUCACUUGUCCCGUUAGGCCUGUAAUAAAAAAUGUUACUGAGUUACUGAUUUGUAACUUUUCAAUAACGAUGUUAAUGGGUGAUUGGUUUGUCACUUUUCGAAAAUGUUAGUGAUUGAUUUAUUAUUUUUUAAAAAUUGAGUGACUCAAUUGAAACUUUGCUUCGCUCAACGUGGCAAGUUAACUCGCAACAUCAGCUAGUUAACCGGUCACGUCAAUUGUUCCGUUAGGCCUGUAAUGGAAAAUAUUACUGAUUUGUCACUUUUCGAUAACAUUAGUAACUGAUUUAUUAUUUUUUGAAAGUUGAGUUACUGAAUUGAAAUUAAAGUGAUUAUUUUGUUAAUUACAUCAAAGUUGAGUGACUUUUAAUGCAAUUUACCAAAAAAAAAGGAUUUUAAUGAUCCGUAAACUAUUUUAAAGAUAAAUUACACCAUUGUAGAUAACGAAUUAAAGAACAAAAAAAAAACAAAAGAUUUAUUAGUAUUUAAUUAAUUUUGAGGGAAUUAAUGGACCUUUUGGACAAAGCUCCAAACAACAUUUUCAGUACAAGGAGGUAGGAGUGAGCAUUCGAUCGAAUCGAAUCGAAUCGAAUCGAAAAUUUUCGAGUUAAUCGAGUUUUCGAAUUUCAUUUUAUCAUCCUAACUUUAUUUGAAGUUUUCUCGAAUCGAGUCGAGUGAGAUGGAAUUCGAAUCGAAUCGAAUCGAAUCGAAUAUAUUUGUUCGAGUUAAAUUUUAAAAAAUAAUUUUGGGUCCUUGUAACCAUUGUCACCCAUCGUAAUAAAAUUUGUCCACCUUAAUCAAAUUUUUUAUUAACUUUCAUCACCUCAUAAUUUAUUUAUUAAUUUUUUAUAUACUGGUUAGCUUAUUUGUUUGCUUAGUUGUUUCAAUUAUCUUCGGAUUAUUGUCACUAUGUAUUUUGGAAUUAAAAAUAUAUUAAAUAUNNNNNNNNNNNNNNNNNNNNNNNNNNNNNNNNNNNNNNNNNNNNNNNNNNNNNNNNNNNNNNNNNNNNNNNNNNNNNNNNNNNNNNNNNNNNNNNNNNNNNNNNNNNNNNNNNNNNNNNNNNNNNNNNNNNNNNNNNNNNNNNNNNNNNNNNNNNNNNNNNNNNNNNNNNNNNNNNNNNNNNNNNNNNNNNNNNNNNNNNNNNNNNNNNNNNNNNNNNNNNNNNNNNNNNNNNNNNNNNNNNNNNNNNNNNNNNNNNNNNNNNNNNNNNNNNNNNNNNNNNNNNNNNNNNNNNNNNNNNNNNNNNNNNNNNNNNNNNNNNNNNNNNNNNNNNNNNNNNNNNNNNNNNNNNNNNNNNNNNNNNNNNNNNNNNNNNNNNNNNNNNNNNNNNNNNNNNNNNNNNNNNNNNNNNNNNNNNNNNNNNNNNNNNNNNNNNNNNNNNNNNNNNNNNNNNNNNNNNNNNNNNNNNNNNNNNNNNNNNNNNNNNNNNNNNNNNNNNNNNNNNNNNNNNNNNNNNNNNNNNNNNNNNNNNNNNNNNNNNNNNNNNNNNNNNNNNNNNNNNNNNNNNNNNNNNNNNNNNNNNNNNNNNNNNNNNNNNNNNNNNNNNNNNNNNNNNNNNAAAGUGGGAAGGAGUAAAAAUUUUGAGGGAAAAGUAAAAAGUUUGGGAGUUUAGGGUAAAACUGUAAAAUAUUAUAGUUUGAUAUUCGAAUUAUUCGAAUUAUUCGAGUUAUUCGAAUUCGAAAACUCAACUCGAUUCGAACUCGAAAUUCGAAAAAAAAUUCGAGUUGAUUCGAAUAACUCGAUUAACUCGAAUAACUCGAUUCGUUUAACUCGAAAUUCGAAUUUUUUUUCGAUUUUUUCAAGUCGAAUCAAAUUUUGCUCAUCCCUACAAGGAGGAACAGUUAAAGAGCCUAUGUAUCUAUCUAUCUGCAAUAACACAAAUUAUUAAUGGUAUAAUUUCACUUUUAGUCCUUCUUAAGUAUAAAUGGUUUGAUUUGAUUUUUUUUGCUUUAGCCAUAUGUGGUUUUUUUUUGGCCAUUCGAAAAUUUAUUUUUUUAAUUUAAAAAUUAUUUUAAAACAGGAUAAACUACCAUUUAGUUCCUGAAUUUGACAAUUUUUUUCAACUUGGUCCUUGACCUUUUUUUUGUCUAUAUUAGUCCAGGAACUUGGUAACUUUUUACAAUUUAACCUGUAAACUUGGAUUCUAUUCAAGAGAGAUGGUGUGGCAAUUUGAGAUUGUGCCAUGUCAUUGCCUAAAUUUUAAAAAAUUAUAUGAAAUCUAAAAAAUUACAAAAGAAAUUAUAAAGAAAUUUUAUUUAAAAAAAUUCAAGUGAUUACGUGACAUAAUCUCAAAGCAUCACGACAUUAUACCUUAACAAAAUUCAAUUCAUGGACUAAAUUAAGAAAAACUACCAAGUGCCGAAACUAAUGUAGACCAAAAAUAAAUUCAAGAAUUAAAUUUAAAAAUAUUGUCAAGUUUAGAGAUCAAAUUCAUGAAACUUUAAUUUUAUCUUGCCCCCAACAUAAAAUUUCUGAUUUCAUUCCUACGAAUAUGAUUAUCCAUAUAAAAUAUUUACGUCCGAGAAAUAAAUGUUUUUACUUACCGAUAAUAGGAAAGGAUCUGGUCUUUCAAUCUUGUACAUGAUCCCUAUUACAACAAUCUUACCGUAUGCACUUUCAUGAAUCAAGUGUGCCUCUAUAUCAAACCUGAAUUUUAAAAUUAAAAAAUAUUUUUUAAUUGGUUCUAUUACAAUGAAAUUAUAACACGAGAUUAUAUAAUUAAAAAAAAAACCAUGACUACAUGGAGAUAUCAAAAUUAUAUAUAUUACCUCCUGCCAUUGAUGGCAUGCUUAGAAGGAGAAUGCCAGUGACACUAUUGAAGUGCAACUCAGUACCAUUGAUUUCUGUAGCUCUUGUUUCACCAUCAAACCUCAUCUGCAUACAUGCAAAAUAUAUGGAUUUGAGUUUCGAAUUUUUUUGAAUAAAUUAUACUAAUAGUUCACAUCUUUUGAUGAGCUCGCAUCUUUGGGUGAACUCACAUCUUCAAAUGAGCUCUCAGUGAUGAAUGAGUUUGCAACUUUGGAUGAGAUGUAGAGCGCGUAAACUUAAAUGAGCUCGCAGAUUUGCAUUCUGAGUUUGCCAUUAUGUCCACUUCGCAACACCAAUCAACUUCAAUAUCAACCUCAAUAUCAGCUGGAAGUUCAAGUUUGAUACGUCAGCAGAUGGUUCUACCUUUAAUCAUGGGUCUUGUGCUUCUAGUCCUUUUUCGUUCUCUUCUCCGGUGCCUUCUCUAGUCCCGAGUAAUUGUCAAAGUUCCUCCAGUGCAACUGCCACCAAAAAUGACACUUCUGCUGCUACCAUCACCUCUGCAAGUGCAACUGCGAAUGCCAGCAUCAGCUUUACCAGCAGGCCCUCUGUGGAGGCUUCAAUCCCUUCCUUUACAGGUGCACCUGUUUUCAAGUUUUCAUCCUCUGGGGACCCAUCAACUUCAGUUUCAACAUUAUCAGCAACUUCAGGGGAAGCAACUGAAUCUUAGCACAGGAUACAAAACUUGGCAAUGUAGGUAUCUUUCCUUUUGGUAGUACAUCUGCUUUUACUGGCUCUGGAAGUAGUAUUUUUGGUGGUACAAGUGCUGCAAGCAGCUCUGCUGGUACAACAGCUGAAGUCGCAAACUCUGGAAAUAGCAGUUCCAGUGGUAUAUCUUCCACUAUUACGAACUCUGGAAGUGGCUUUUUCAGCAGCACAUUUUCCCCAGUGACAAGCACAAGCAAUGGUAUCUUCGGUGGUACAUCUGCAAGUACAAGCACAGG